rnacentral:rRNA from 1 species
GAAGGGAUAACCGCUGAAGGCAUCUAAGUGGGAAGCCCGCCUCAAGAUGAGCCAUCCCUGAGGGUUUAACCCUCCUAAAGGCACCAGGGAGACUACCUGGUUGAUAGGGUGGAGGUCUAAGUGCCGCAAGGUAUUCAGCCGACCACUACUAAUUUGCCGUGAGGCUUGACCAU